CCUACGGGGGGCAGCAGUGGGGAAUAUUGCGCAAUGGGGGCAACCCUGACGCAGCCAUGCCGCGUGAAUGAAGAAGGCCUUCGGGUUGUAAAGUUCUUUCGGUGACGAGGAAGGUUGUUGUGUUAAUAGCGCAACAAAUUGACGUUAAUCACAGAAGAAGCACCGGCUAACUCCGUGCCAGCAGCCGCGGUAAUACGGAGGGUGCGAGCGUUAAUCGGAAUAACUGGGCGUAAAGGGCACGCAGGCGGCUAUUUAAGUGAGGUGUGAAAUCCCCGGGCUUAACCUGGGAAUUGCAUUUCAGACUGGGUAGCUAGAGUACUUUAGGGAGGGGUAGAAUUCCACGUGUAGCGGUGAAAUGCGUAGAGAUGUGGAGGAAUACCGAAGGCGAAGGCAGCCCCUUGGGAAUGUACUGACGCUCAUGUGCGAAAGCGUGGGGAGCAAACAGGAUUAGAUACCCUGGUAGUC
rnacentral:rRNA from 1 species